GAGAGUAGGCGUAGGCAGUUGCAGAUUAGUCAUUCAGACUGGUUUGAGGAAAGUCCGGGCUCUCGAAAGACCAAACUUGCUGGAUAACGUCCAGUGCGAGUGAUCGUGAGGAUAGUGCCACAGAAAGAUACCGCCAGUCAAUUUAUUGGUUGGUAAGGGUGCAAAGGUGCGGUAAGAGCGCACCAGCAGCGUCGAGAGGCGCUGGCUCGGUAAACCCCGGUUGGGAGCAAGGCCGCAAGGAACUACGGUUGGUCUUUUACCGGUUCCGCUGAAAAAGAGCCGCUAGAGGUGCUUGGUAACAAGCAUCCCAGAUAGAUAACUGCCCUCGCAAGAGAACAGAACCCGGCUUACUACCGACUCUCUCUU
rfam:Anabaena sp. CRKS33 207, whole genome shotgun sequence.